AUUGGUCGCGGCCUCAUCUUCAGUUAGGGAUUGAAGAUUGAUCGUGUUAUUAUUUUUUCACAGGAAUUCCCUUCUCUGAUCUUAUGGACUGGAUUCGAUUUUUAUGAUCAGGAUCCACUUGCGAUUGAUUUACAAUUCCUCUCUCAUGCUAAAUACAGAAGGCUUAAGAAGGUUCUUAAAGGUUGUAGGGCUCUGAAGGAUCGUUCAUCUAUUUCUGCUCUAAUGAAAUUAUGAAGCUUUCCCAGUGUGCGAGCAAAAGUUGGUUUACGAACUGUUGAAGGAAGCUUCAGAAUAGGAAGGUUUUUUAGCUUUAGCGUUAGCGUUGGACACCUACACGAUCUUCAUACAAGUCAAGGGGUACUCAGAUAAUUAUCGCAUCAGGUGUGUUUUAGAAAUGGCUAGAAAGACAGUUUACAUGGGUCAGUCAUUGAUUGAAUGUCACAAUUAACACUACUGCAAUACAUAAAAUCCUUAAGAAAUAUGAUAAGAUAAUUGGAUCGGUUUACAGCAGGAAAUGUACGCAGACCUAACAUAUUGUGAUUCCUCACUCGAUUUGAUUGAUAGAUUAGGAGCAUCCAUUAUUAAUUGCAACAAAGAAGUUAACGGAAUGUGCUUAAAUUUCUUUGGUCCUUUCUCGUGUGAUUCUGAUGAGUCUCUAAUUUCUAUGAUUCUACCUGAUUCUGUCAAGUUGGAUUACAAUCUCACUUGUCCGAUCCA